rnacentral:tRNA from 1 species
GGGGUAAAUCUGGGGUAGCAGUUGAGCAAAAUCGCUGAAAUCAAGCUAUAUCAACAUCGUAUUUAGCCUUCCAAGCUAAUAAUGCGGGUUCGAUUCCCGCCGCCCGCU